rnacentral:rRNA from 1 species
UCUGCUAUUCCUAGAAGAUAGGANNNUCCCUUCGGGGNACAGAGUGACAGGUGUNGCAUGGUUGUCGUCAGCUCGUGUCGUGAGAUGUUGGGUUAAGUCCCGCAACGAGCGCAACCCUUGAUCUUAGUUGCCAGCAUUUAGUUGGGCACUCUAAGGUGACUGCCGGUGACAAACCGGAGGAAGGUGGGGAUGACGUCAAAUCAUCAUGCCCCUUAUGACCUGGGCUACACACGUGCUACAAUGGAUGGAACAAAGGGAAGCAAAACCGCGAGGUCAAGCAAAUCCCAUAAAACCAUUCUCAGUUCGGAUUGCAGGCUGCAACUCGCCUGCAUGAAGCCGGAAUCGCUAGUAAUCGCGGAUCAGCAUGCCGCGGUGAAUACGUUCCCGGGCCUUGUACACACCGCCCGUCACACCACGAGAGUUGGUAACACCCGAAGUCNGUGAGGUAACCUUUUGGAGCCAGCCNCC